UCAGCAUUAGAUACCUUACAGUGGUAAUCCAUUUUAGGUAUUUGGUUUAAUCUUACAUUAUUUACCUUUUCAUCUUUCUGCCCAUCACGCUAAACAUUGUUGACGGAGAAAAUACUGCUGGACAAGAUUUACGUCUCGUACGACAGAAACAUUCACGUCUUCUUACUACCGUCAGGUUACCUACCUUUUCUUUCCUCUGCCGCAUGACUGAUACGCUGGUUUCGAGGUUGAGGGCAAGUGAAAGAGGAUCGCAAAAAAAAAUCAUCGCCAUCUCUACUACAGGCAUUUUUUAAAUCUCAAAUGAUUGAGUGCCAACAAGCAUUGAAAUGCCUUACACGCGGGUUUGAUGGAUAUUGCCAUGAAGACUGCCGAAGUUGGCCAUCGUACGGAAACCUAGAAAUGGCGUGAGUUCCACAUCAAACAUGUAUUAGAAUUUUAGUGGAGGAAUUUUUUGUUAAACAUGCUUGAUCUACACAAAAAUUUUCUGUUCAGAGCCUUAUGCAAUGGUUUUCAUUUCCAAUUUGUAUGUUCUUUCGCAAGCAUCUGCCAGAAGUUUUAUAUGAAUGCCAAACAGUGAAUCUAUGAGUCAUGUAAGUCACUUUAGCAAGAAUUUUGUGUGCUUAACGGUUUUUUUUCUGUUCUUAAAAUAGGUUAAUGGUAACACUGGAUCAGAAAAGGGUCUUGAAUGAGACGAGACACUGAAUAAAUUGUGAUGAUUAACGUAACGGAUGACAUGGAAUUUAUAUACUUCAUUCGGAUUCCCAUACGGUAUUUAAUAUUUAAAAAAUUGAAGUGCAUAUCUGGGCUCCCUUCCUUUCCGUAGCCCCGUUUCCCCUUGACUCGUAAUAAGCCCGUAGGGGGUCAUGCCCCUACUGUACGGUAUAUAUAAAAAUAACAUAUACCGAGGUUUGGAGGGCUCUGGCCGGAAAGGGGACGUGGGGGUCCGCGUAGUCCGAUGAUGUGUUCACGGAGGGCGACGUGGCUAUCCGCAAAUCCGAAUUAAAGGUUAAUCGCUCCAGUAAAAAUGUUCCAUAUC